AUUGAACGCUGGCGGCAUGCUUUACACAUGCAAGUCGAACGCGAAAGGGGGCAACCCUGAGUAGAGUGGCGCACGGGUGAGUAAUGCAUCGGAACGUGUCCUGUAGCGGGGGAUAACCUAGCGAAAGCUAGGCUAAUACCGCAUACGCCCUGAGGGGGAAAGUGGGGGAUCGCAAGACCUCACACUAUAGGAGCGGCCGAUGCCGGAUUAGCUAGUUGGUGGGGUAAAAGCUCACCAAGGCGACGAUCCGUAGCUGGUCUGAGAGGAUGAUCAGCCACACUGGGACUGAGACACGGCCCAGACUCCUACGGGAGGCAGCAGUGGGGAAUUUUGGACAAUGGGGGCAACCCUGAUCCAGCCAUGCCGCGUGAGUGAAGAAGGCCUUCGGGUUGUAAAGCUCUUUCGGCCGGGACGAAAUCGCAUGGGUGAAUAUCCUGUGUGGAUGACGGUACCGGAAUAAGAAGCACCGGCUAACUACGUGCCAGCCGCCGCCAUAA
rnacentral:rRNA from 1 species